GUUACGAAUCGUGUGCGUGUCAAUUUAUUUCCACAUUAUUCUCAAUUCCUCUUCCUGGGAAAGGAUUCUCUCGAUCGACUCUGAGAAGAUUUUCAAAACCAGAAAAUCCGAUUGCAAUCUUAGAUUAGUUUGAUUCCGCCUGAAACCCGAUGUGAUUGUUUGGGUCAUCGUCGAGACGAGAUAGUAUCGCUUGGAGGAGGAAACUCACCGGCCUGCCUUUUUUUCUGCCAGAGUUGCUGUUUUACAUACCUGGAAGCUUACUCUCUGCAUGAAACCAUCGUUGCCAAGGUAAUUUCUCUGUCUAUGAACUUAAAAUGAAAGUUUAAAGUUCUGUCUUUUGCGGAUGGAAUUCAAACGAGGACAAAGUCAAACCCGUUAGAUCAGCUGUAAUCGAUGUCAUAGCAUUUUGAAAUCCAAAAACGAUCAUUGGCAAGCACUAAGCUUAAUAGUGUUCUGUCAGGUUUUUAUUUGGGUAAACAUUGUCCCGUAAGGAAUCUGUUGGUUGGUAGUGCAUGUCUAAGGAGGUAUGUUAUGGGGAUGGAAAAUAAGACUUGGAAUCUAUUGGUUGGUAGUGCAUGGCUUAAAAGUCUUAAGACAAAGACUAUAUGGGGAUGAGGAAAAUAAUGACCCACGGCUUAGAGAAAAGUCAUUAGAUGAUGAAACAACGACUAAUGGCUUAAAUAAGACGCUUUGGAUGGGAAAGAUCUUUGCCUCUAAACCACAAGGCUUGAAAGUAUAAAAGACAAUGAGUUGGAUGGGUUGGUAGUGCAUGGCUUAAAAGUCUUAAGACAGAGACUCUAUGGGGAUGAGAAAAAAAGACCUACGGCUUAGAAAAAGUUAUUAGAUGAUGAAACAACGACUAAUGGCUUAAAUAAGACUCGUUGGAUGGGAAAGAAACGACCAACAUGUCUUAAGACAAAACCCACAAGGCUUGCGAGUAUAGAGACUAUGAGUUGGAUGGGUUAGUGCAUGGCUUAAACGUCUUAAGACAAAGACUAUAUGGGAGUGAGGAAAAAAAAGACCCACAGCUUAGAAAAAAUCAUUAGAUGAUGAAACAACGACUAAUGACUUAGGUAAGACUUGUUGGAUUGGAUAAAACGACCAGCAUGUCUUAAGACAAAAACUCUGAACCACAAGGCUUAAAGAACUCAAUCUUUGCCUCUAAACCACAAAGGCUUAUAAGUACAAAAAGACUAUGAGUUGGAUGGGGUUGAUAGUGCAUGACUUAAAAGUCUUAAGACAAAGACUAUACUGGGGAUGAAGAAAAAAUAGACCCACGGCUUAGAAAGAAUCAUUAGAUUAUGAAACAAUGACUAAUGGCUUAAACAAGACUCGUUGGAUGGGAAAGAAACGACCAACAUGUCUUAAAGAACCACACGGCUUAAAGAACUCUAUGGGGAUGAGGAGAGUAUAAAGACUAUGUCUUUGCCUCUAAACCACAAGGCUUAAAGAACUCUGUCUUUGCCUCUAAAUCCAAAAGGCUUGAAAGUAUAAAGACUAUGGGUUGAAUGGGUUGGUAGUGCAUGACUUGAGACAAAAACUCUAUGCGGAUGAGGAAAAAAGAGACCCACGGCUUAGAAAAAGUCAUUAGAUGAUGGUUUAAAUAAGUCUCGUUGGAUGGAAAAGAAACAACCAAAUAUCUUAAGACAAAGUCUCUAAACCACAAGGCUUAAAGAACUAUGUCUUUGCCUCUAAACCCACAAGGCUUGAGAGUAUUAAAGACUAUGAGUUGGAUGGGUUGGUAGUGCAUGUCUUUCCUAGAGAAAGAUUCUAUGAGUUGAAUGGAUUGGUAGUGCAUGACUUGAGACAAAGACUCUAUGGGGAUGAGGAAAAAAGAGACCCACGACUUAGAAAAGUCAUUAGGUGAUGGUUUAAAUAAGACUCGCUGGAUGGGAAAGAAACAACCAAAUGUCUUAAGACAAAGUCUCUAAACCACAAGGCUUUAAAGAACUAUGUCUUUGCCUCUAAACCCAAGGCUUGAGAGUAUAAAAGACUAUGAGUUGGAUGGGUUGGUAGUGCAUGUUUUUCCUAGAGAAAGAUUCUAUGGGGAUGAGAAAAAAAAAUGACCCACGGCUUAAAAUCAGUCUUUAGAUGAAAAACGACUAAUGACUUAAAUAAGACUCGUUGGAUUGGAUAAACGACCAACAUUGUCUUAAGACAAAGAGUCUGAAACACAAGGCUUAAAGAACUAUGUCUUUGCCUCUAAACCACAAAGGCUUUAAAGUAUAAAAUGACUUAAAAGUCUUUAGACAAAGACUCUAUAGGGAUGAGAGAAAAGUUGACCCACGGCUUAGAAAAAGUCUUUAGACGAAAAAUGACUAAUGGCUUAAAUAAGACUCGUUGGAUUGGAUAAAACGACCAACAUGUCUUAAGACAAAGAGUCUGAACCACAAGGCUUAAAGAACUAUGCCUCUAAGCCACAAAGACUUUAAAAGACUAUUAGUUGGAUGGGGUUGGUUUCCGAUUUGUUGGAUGAAAAGAAAAACGACCAACAGCUGAAAUAAGCUAAAGACAAAGUCUGGAACAAAAGUAUUUUACACAAAGACAAUGGUUGGUUUACGUUUUGUUGGAUGGAAAAAAAAAACGACCAACCGCUUAAGACAAAGAAUGAAAAAGUUCUUAAGAGAAAGAUCAUGUCCGAAAUCAGUCUUAAGACAUAGGCUAAUACGAAAACAACUCACAGAUUUGGAAAGUCACACAGCGACAAAGACUACCAACGGCUUAAAAUGUCUUAAGACAAAGAUACUUAACAAUAACAAGGAUCAAGAGAUUCUUAAAUAAGGCUUGUUGGAAGGGGGAAAAAAGCAACCAACGGCUUAACGAUGUCUUAAGACAGUCUUCAAAAAGUCCUUAGAUGGAUAAAAAUUAUUAUCGGCUUAAAUUAGAUUUGGUGGAUCGGCAAAUAACGACCAACAGCUUAAAAGAUGUCGUGACACGAAAAGGAUCUGAACUGAGAAUUAUCUCCGCGAUAAACACAAAGAUGUCUUAAGAUAAAUACUCUUGAAGAUGUCUUGAGAUAAAUACUCUGAACUUUGAACUUUGAACUAUGAUUCUGAUUUUUUUG